GACGAACGCUGGCGGCGUGCUUAACACAUGCAAGUCGAACGGAAAGGCCCUGCUUUUGUGGGGUGCUCGAGUGGCGAACGGGUGAGUAACACGUGAGUAACCUGCCCUUGACUUUGGGAUAACUUCAGGAAACUGGGGCUAAUACCGGAUAGGAGCUCCUGCUGCAUGGUGGGGGUUGGAAAGUUUCGGCGGUUGGGGAUGGACUCGCGGCUUAUCAGCUUGUUGGUGGGGUAGUGGCUUACCAAGGCUUUGACGGGUAGCCGGCCUGAGAGGGUGACCGGCCACAUUGGGACUGAGAUACGGCCCAGACUGCUACGGGAGGCAGCGGUGGGAAAUAUUGCACAAUGGGCGGAAGCCUGAUGCAGCAACGCCGCGUGCGGGAUGACGGCCUUCGGGUUGUAAACCGCUUUCGCCUGUGACGAAGCGUGAGUGACGGUAAUGGAUAAAGAAGCACCGGCUAACUACGUG
rnacentral:rRNA from 1 species